AUGAUGGCCACUGUCAUCCUUUUCUCUCGCCAGAUAUGCACAAGACUGUUACCUUGUGGAGAAAUGGAGACUGGAUUAUUUAAAAACUUCAAACAGCAAAGAGUCUUUCCAGAACUUUUUAAUGCUAAAAGGAAGAAAAAAUUUACCUGGUCAAAAUUUCUUCAGUAAACCCUCCACAAUUUUGGGACCAGUUUCUUGCACGGAUUCAGUUUCAUAGGAAUGUGACAGAAGCUCUUCUAUCUGUAUUCUCCUUCCUCUUUGGAUUUUAAAUAUUUUCUGUGGUGCGAAGUGACUUAUAUCCACAGAUACUGAGUAACUUCUUAUAACUUACACGCAAGACGUUGUUGUAAUAAGUACAUGUCCAAAAAGACUUUGGCAGUGAAAGGAUAUGAUGGAUGUAUAUAUGUGCAUUAUAUAUAUGUAUAUAUACACACACACACACACAUAUAUACAUC
rnacentral:lncRNA from 1 species